rnacentral:rRNA from 1 species
AACGAACGCUGGCGGCAGGCCUAACACAUGCAAGUCGAGCGAGGACUCCGGUCCUAGCGGCGGACGGGUGAGUAACGCGGGGGAACGUGCCCUUUGCUUCGGAAUAGCCCUGGGAAACUGGGAGUAAUACCGGAUGAGCCCUUUGGGGGAACGAUCUAUUGGCGUAGGAUCGGCCCGCGUUGGCUUAGGUGGUUGGUGGGGGAAUGGCCGACCAUGCCGACGAUCCAUAGCUGGUGUGGUAGGAUGAUCAGCCACACUGGGGCUGCGGCACGGCCCAGACGCCUACGGGACGCAGCAGUGGGGUAUCCUAGGCGAUGGAGCCAGCCCUGAUCUCGCCGUGCCGCGUGAGCGGUGCAGGCCUUAGGGUUGUACAGCUCUUUCAGCUGGGACGAUAAUGACGGUACCAGCAGAAGAAGCCCCGGCUAACUCCGUG